UGAAGAAAUUCAUUUGCAGAGAGAGCUGAAAGCCAAAUCGGAAGAAAAUGAAAAGAUCUUGGAAAUGGCUGCCAUUAUGCAAAAGGCUGCCAGUUUGAAUGAGGAGAAGGAAAAUGAACAAAUUGGAUUAAUUCAUCGAUUAGCGACCGAAAAUUGUACUCUUCGGCAGCUGCUGCAGAUUGCUGAAAAGGACGGUACGGUGAAGGAUAUGUAACGUAAUUCUAAUUUAUUAAACAAUGAAAAUCAAUUAA